rnacentral:rRNA from 1 species
GACGAACGCUGGCGGCGUGCUUAACACAUGCAAGUCGAACGAAAAUACCAAGCUUGCUUGGUUGAUUAGUGGCGAACGGGUGAGUAACACGUGAGUAACCUGCCCCUUACUUUCCUGGAUAACUGCUCGAAAGGGUAGCUAAUACGGGAUAUUCUGACCAGCCUGCAUGGGUUGGUUUGGAAAGGUUGUUUUUCUGGUAAGGGAUGGGCUCGCGGCCUAUCAGCUUGUUGGUGGGGUGAUGGCCUACCAAGGCUUUGACGGGUAGCCGGCCUGAGAGUGUGGACGGUCACACUGGGACUGAGAUACGGCCCAGACUCCUACGGGAGGCAGCAGUGGGGAAUAUUGCACAAUGGGCGCAAGCCUGAUGCAGCGACGCCGCGUGAGGGAUGAAGGCCUUCGGGUUGUAAACCUCUUUCGUCAGGGAACAAGGCACUGCUUUUUUGGUGGUGUUGAGGGUACCUGGAUAAGAAGCGCCGGCUAACUACGUG